GAUGAACGCUAGCUACAGGCUUAACACAUGCAAGUCGAGGGACCGGCGCACGGGUGAGUAACACGUAUCCAACCUGCCCUUUACUCGGGGAUAGCCUUUCGGAAGAAAGAUUAAUACCCGAUAUCAAGGAUGGGGAUGCGUUGCAUUAGGUUGUUGGUGAGGUAACGGCUCACCAAGCCUUCGAUGGAUAGGGGUUCUGAGAGGAAGGUCACCGACAUUGGAACUGGGCCCCGGUCCAAACUCCUACGGGCGGUAGGAGUGAGGAAUAUUGGGCCAUGGGCGCUAGCCUGAACCAGCCAAGUAGCGUGAAGGAUGUUGGGUCAUGGGUCGUAAUCUUCUGUUAUAUAAGAAUAUGUAUUAUAUGAAUAAGGAUCGGCUAACUCCGUGCCAGCAGCCGCGGUAAUAC
rnacentral:rRNA from 1 species